rnacentral:tRNA from 1 species
ACCCGUAUGAUGAAACUGGUAAACAGAUCAGACUUAAAAUCUGAGGUGCAGAUACGCACUUGUAGGUUCGAAUCCUACUACGGGUA